CCUGGAUGUCCUGGAACUCCCAUCUGUAAACCAGGCAGGCUGAAAACUCAGAGAUCCUCCUGCCUCUGCCUCCGGAGUGCUGGGAUUAAAGGCGUGCGCCACCACCGCCUGGCAGUACUGGGUUUUGAACCAAGGCCUCACCUGUGGUGGCAAGUGUGCUACCACGGAAUGUGUUUACGGUCACCAAACUGAUGCCAUACCAAACUGUCUCAUUACAUAACAGCUCUCUUUGCCCCCUCUUUUUUGUUGUUUGUUUUGUUUUAUUAGGCAGGGUUUUGCUGUAUGGUCCAAACCGGCCUGGUACUAGCUAUUGCAAACUUUAAAUCCUCCUGCCUCCGUUUCCUGAGUACUAGCAUUUCAAGAGUGUGUCACUAUGCCCAGCUCAAUGUUUCUCUUAAAAUUAUUCUAACUUACUUAAUUACUAUGACUUAUUUAUGUAUUUUGAUAUCAUGACUACUUCCUUACUUUUUAACUUACUAAUUCCUGACUUGUGAAAUUAAGAAACUCAAUACUAUAUUCAGGAAGCAAAAUAUACUGCCAUGAAAUGGGACUUUGUGUUUUUUUAUGGAGAUACUGUAAAAUAAGCUAUGAAUGCUAAAAUAACAGAAAAAAAUUAAAAUCAUUUCCAUUUUAAAUAUAGUUAAAUUAUACAUUUAUUAAGUUCCUUUUAUGUACCAAGACAAAUUACUAGCUUAUGUAAAAGGCAAGUGCAUUCCAGGCCUGUAAAAAUAGCUCAGUGGUUAAGAGCCCUGGCUGCUCUUCCAGAGGACCCACGUUCAAUUCCCAGCACCCACAUGGCAGCUCACAGCUGUCUGUAACUUGAAGAUCUGACACCCUCGCACAGACAUGCAUUCAGGCAAAAUCCCAAUGCACAUGAAAUAAGUCUUAAAAAAAAAAGUCAGGUGUAUUCCGGCCUCCAAAAAGUACAGUCUUGGGAUGGAGAGAUCAAAGCACAACCUAAACAAGAAAUUGUGUGAGUCCUAAUAGUCACAAGUAAUGCAAUCCAAAAAGAGGAGCAGAAAAAAAUUAAGAUGCAGAAGGAAGCCGGGCGUUAGUGGCGCAAGCCUUUAAAACCAGCACUCGGGAGGCAGAGACAGGCGGAUCACUGUGAGUUCAAGACCAGCCUGGUCUACCCAGUGAGUUCCAGGACAGGCUCCAAAACAAUACAGAGAAACCCUGUCUCGAAAAAAAAAAAAAAUGCAGAAGGAAGACCCAGGAUCUAGCUGGUCCUCUGUGAAUCAAGGAUCUGUGGGACUUGAUGUGAGUGACAACAGAACUUGGAGUCUCCACUUUAUCCAGGAAACAGCCCCUCUCACCCCCAUCUCCAUUAGCCACCCAUCGGGGUGAAGACACCAUUGUCAGAUAUCAAUAUGCUGGUGAUACAGAUGAAGCCACGAGGUACAGACGGGCUAUACAAGUAGGACACCAGCGUCUGAAUCUGGAAGGAUAAAAGCCAUGAUUCUGUUUUUAACUCAAAAGACACAUUCCCUACCCCUAC